UUCCUUCUUUUCCCCUUCACGCGUGCCGGGCCAUUCCUCUCCGAGCCAUCCCCGACGCCAAGCCGUGACCUAACCGUCGGCCACGGCGGUUUUUCUUCCUCCCCUUCCACUUCUUCUUCUUCUUCUUUGCCCGAGCCGAACCCUCCUUCCCUCAUCUCUCGCGACGCCGGUCUUCUCCACACCGACGCCUCUGCCCUAAUCUCUUCGCGCCGAUCGCCUCUCCCCCCGCCCGGAGUAGUGUCGAUCCGGCGACGCCGUCUCUGUGCCCUAGCCGCCGGCCACCCGAGCCGCCCACCGCCGGCCGUUUGUCCUCAGCAAAGGAGCGUCGACCACCAAUCGCGGCUGUGCCCUGGCGUUCUUUCCUCGUGCCGCCACUACCACAGACACGCCCCAUCCUCACUGUCGCACCUUUGACAGCCACUCUUCGCCGCCGCGCACGAUCCGUUGGCCACCAUUGAGUCCUGCCGAAGCUGCUACCCUCACCGGACAGGAGCAGCGUUGUCGCCUCUGCCCUAGCACUGUCGUGGGCCAUCAGAUUCGACCCAACGUCGUUGUCGAUACCCUGGUUCACCCCUACACAGUUUUUAAUCACCUCAGUGGAGGGUUUCCAGUAGCACCCAUUGUUCCAGAAAUCAACAAGGCUGAGGAAUAAGGACUUUGACGCGAGACGAGCAUCUCGACGUCGUAAUUUAGACCAGAUUGGACUAUCCUAUUGGAGGCGGGU